rnacentral:rRNA from 1 species
CGGCGGACGGGUGAGUAACACGUGGGCAAACUGCCUGUAAGACUAGGGAUAACUUCGGGAAACCGAAGCUAAUACCGGAUAGGAUCUUCUCCUUCAUGGGAGAUGAUUGAAAGAUGGUUUCGGCUAUCACUUACAGAUGGGCCCGCGGUGCAUUAGCUAGUUGGUGAGGUAACGGCUCACCAAGGCAACGAUGCAUAGCCGACCUGAGAGGGUGAUCGGCCACUCUGGGACUGAGACACGGACCAGACUCCUACGGGAGGCAGCAGUAGGGAAUCUUCCGCAAUGGACGAAAGUCUGACGGAGCAACGCCGCGUGA